rnacentral:rRNA from 1 species
GACGAACGCUGGCGGCGUGCUUAACACAUGCAAGUCGAACGGAAAGGCCCUGCUUGCCGGGUGCUCGAGUGGCGAACGGGUGAGUAACACGUGGGUGAUCUGCCCCUUACUUUGGGAUAAGCCUGGGAAACUGGGUCUAAUACUGGAUAGGACCAUGCUGUAGGUGGUGUGGUGGAAAGAUUUUUUCGGUAAGGGAUGAGCUCGCGGCCUAUCAGCUUGUUGGUGGGGUAAUGGCCUACCAAGGCGUCGACGGGUAGCCGGCCUGAGAGGGUGGACGGCCACAUUGGGACUGAGAUACGGCCCAGACUCCUACGGGAGGCAGCAGUGGGGAAUAUUGCACAAUGGGCGCAAGCCUGAUGCAGCGACGCCGCGUGGGGGAUGACGGCCUUCGGGUUGUAAACUCCUUGCAGCCAUGACGAAGCCUCUUUUGGGGUGACGGUAGUGGUAGAAGAAGCACCGGCUAACUACGUG